AUCUCCCUUUCUCUCUAGUGGUCGUUGGGUUGGGUAGCGUGCAUUCGUCAGUGCGAGCGAUGAUUUGCGAUGAGACCCCACAGUAUAAAUUCGUCAUUGAGAUGAGUAUACAACUUCACCUUACUAGGUGUUACGUGCUGAAAAUUAUAACGCAAGCUUUCCUGUGAAAUAUGUAACCUAAAUACGUCUAGCAAAUCUACAUGGGGGGUUAUUAGUAAAUUGUGGUUAUCCCUUCGUUGGAGAACGCAGCAAUCUAAUCUGCCUUACCCGUUUACAGCGCUCUCCUUUUCACGUCUGACGAAUUAGAUAGAGAGAGUGAGAGAGCGAGAGAGAGAUACCGGAAUCGUGAUUGCGGUGCGAGAUUGAUAAUGUGGGGCUGCUGUAAUGCACACACCAUUAGGCGGCUAGUACACGAGAGCAAGCGUUCUGAGUUGCUAUUAUUUUAAAAGGCUUUUUGGCUAAAGUCUGGAUAGAUGCCCACACCCCCCCCCCCCACUCACGGCACUCACUUUUCGCUACUGAGUUUCCUUAAAUUUAGGUAAAAGUUAAGCUAAAAUGUAAGAAACCGUUUUAAUAAUUAUUUAUAAAAAUUAAAAAUAAUGAAUAAAUAAUAAAUAAAUAAAUACUUACACUAAAAAGUCUGAAAAAGAUACCCUUUUGGGAAACUCAGUUGCAAGAACGAGUGCCCGUGGAUGGGGCGGAUCUUACUUCUGACUUUUUCCCUGCAUAGUUGGAUAGUCAGUCCUCACACUAUAUGGGAACGGGAUGAGAUUUGAGCCCCGGUCCUCCCGGUUUGAAAAACGGCGUUGCUAUCGCAUCUACUACCCCCCGCCCUAGCUAGAAGGAAUGAUGAGUACUUAGAUUACAUUUCCAAAAGAAAAAGAGCCGAAACCCACAGUUUAUACGCUUAUUAAGCGUAUUGGCCAUGAUGGCAUGCGGAUGCUGAACAUAGUAGGCCUAUUUGUGUGUUGGCAAGCAGCAGUAAAUCAGAUGUCCCGAAGAAAAAAUAUAUCUAUUACAGGCCUAUUACAGAAGAGUAAUUUUGGUUGGAAUAAUUUCGAAAUUUCGCAGUCAAAAAUUGUUUUCUCCCGGCGUUUGUUUUAAUCAGAAAAUUCCAUGCUUCACGUGUGAUCAUGUGAAGAGAAUAAUGCUACUUCUUCAUAGUGACAGGAAGCAAAACGGUCCGGCCGAAUUUUUCUUCCACAUCGCUUUGACAGUGAAAUUCCGGAAUUAUUCCAACCAAAAAUUACUACGUGCGAUAGGCCUUUUAAUUUCAGCCUUCCCGGAUUAAAAAUCAAAUCAUCAUAGUAUAUGGUUUUGAGACUAGGCCGGCUUUCGCAAAUUUGUAGUCGUCAGAAUUUAAAAAGCUGCGGCCAAAUUUUGAGACAAUCACAAGCGACACACCAGGUCAGGCUGACGAUAUCAUGGCUGCCAUGCUGGUCAGAUAGUCAGAAUUGAUACUGGUACUGUCGUGCGAAGACUGGCCAAGAUGCCUUGAUCGAACACUGGACACCUCUCUGGCGACCGCCAAAAUAGCUGGAGCUAAACAUGCUAGACAAAAAAAAAACAAGAUGAUAAAUGACGCACAUAUGAAGAACGUUCUAGAGUACUCUCAACUCCAACUCCAUCUGUUCAAACACCUCAACCUAAACGUACUGUGUCGUCCAACUUGAAUAACUCUUCACACUGCAACCCCCCUAAUACAGAUGACGUUGCGUAACAGCCUAGCAGGACUUUUAGUAAGACAAUGAGCAGAGGCUGUCUGACAGGUGAGACCCGUGCCUACGUUAUCAACGUGUCCAUUGUACGCACGGAACACAGCUCAUGCCAUUGAUCGCGCGUUACACAAAAAUUUCAAGAUCUCAUGCUCAUGGUUUUGACAGGCAGAGCAUAAUACGGCUGAUAAGUGGGGGACCCCGUGGUCUGAUAGUGACCAUUAAACGGUAAUUUGCUCUAUCCGCUCGGGUCAAAACCUGGUUGAUAGGGGAUGGGAGGGAAUCGGAAUAUAUACUGUAUUGUGCUGUUGUUGUCAGGAGCGGUAAUCGUUCGAUCUUGAUAAACGCGCCUGCUAGAGACAGUGCCGGAGGGAUUUAACGUGAUUGAGCGUACGUCAAGAUCAUUUCAAUUAGGUAAAUGAUAGUGGUGGAUGCUGCUCCAGUUUACGAGCUCACUUAUCUAAUAGUGGUUCUCGAGGAAGAGGUUCUCAGGGUUCACCAGCACUAUCCUAGCUGGAAAAUUUGCUUUGGAGUCCAAUGUUUUCCAUUUGUAACGAACCACUAUUGUUUCGCUCGAUUAAAUCUAACGUUCCAUCUCCAGCGGAUCAAAUUUAAACAGCUAGCGCCAUCUAUCGGCAAAGCCAGUAUCAAAACCCUUUGCCACAGAACCCUACAAAUGUUCGGAUUUUCAAAAAAGAAUGUAUUUCAAACAAAAUUAAACAACAUCAGCUAGCGGUAUACAACACAUGAUCAAUUUAUUUAUCAUUUUCUGUUUGCUUUUUAAAACACUAUACCGUACAGUGAUUCAUAACACUUGCGAUGUAAAACACUAGACGCUAAUCCUAUGGAAUAUUCUUAUGCUUGCGGUAUAGCGGCGGCUGCUCGAUCCAGCCCGACCCGCACAUAACGACCUACAGAACGUGGGGGGGCAUGUGCGGUCAUGGCUGGACCUGACUGGCCUGGCCUGGCUGGACCAUGGUUCACAACACUGUUUCCAUCGUCACCGGUUACGAUGAGCACGUGGCACACUGUUCGCGCUCCAUGCUGCCAACCGUCAAACCGGCAAGCUAUUGGUUCUUGCUCGCUAUAUGUACAAAAGAACCAACUAUUCGGGAAAUGCACUUUUCUUCUUCCUUUGUACGACAAAUUUCUUUUCUAAGCAAGAAAAAUAAAAUCUGUUUAUUACUACGGCUAAUGGGGGAGGUGCGUAGAUGGACACCACUAAGACGAGACGAGAAAAACAAAAUCCUAAAAUUAAAAAAAAAA